AACGAACGCUGGCGGCGUGGAUUAGGCAUGCAAGUCGAACGUGAAAGUGCUUAAGGAGCAAUCCGGCGGCACGAGUAAAGUGGCGAACGGGUGAGUAACGCGUGGGAAAUCUGCUCUCGAGCGGGGGAUAACAGUUCUAACGGACUGCUAAUACCGCAUGAUGCCAUGGGUCACAUGACUUCAUGGUUAAAGGAGGCCUCUGUUUCAAGCUUCCACUCAAGAAUGAUCCCGCGUUCUAUUAGCUUGUUGGUGGGGUAACGGCCUACCAAGGCGACGAUGGAUAGCCGGCCUGAGAGGGUGGUCGGCCACACUGGGACUGAGAUACGGCCCAGACUCCUACGGGAGGCAGCAGUCGAGAGGCUUCGGCAAUGGGGGAAACCCUGACCGAGCGACGCCGCGUGGGUGAUGAAGAUCCUCGGAUCGUAAAACCCUGUCAGGUGGGAGGAAAUACCAUUCGGUUAAUACCCGAGUGGCUUGACAGUACCACCAGAGGAAGCUCCGGCCAACUCCGUGC
rnacentral:rRNA from 1 species